rnacentral:rRNA from 1 species
GACGAACGCUGGCGGCGUGCCUAACCCAUGCAGUCGAACGGGGCGGCGGACUUCGGUCCAAAGCCUAGUGGCGGACGGGUGAGUAAUGCGUGAACAACCAAACCUUGUACAGGGGGACAACAGCUGGAAACGGCUGCUAAUACCGCAUAAGACCACAGGACCGCAUGGUCCAGGGGUCAAAGGAGCAAUCCGGUAUAAGACGGGUUCGCGUUCCAUUAGCUAGUUGGUGGGGUAAUGGCCUACCAAGGCUGCGAUGGAUAGCCGAGCUGAGAGGCUGAUCGGCCACACUGGGACUGAGAUACGGCCCAGACUCCUACGGGAGGCAGCAGGGGGAAUAUUGGGCAAUGGGGAAACCCUGACCCAGCAACGCCGCGUGAAGGAAGAAAGGCCUCGGUUGUAACUUACUGUGACAGGGACGAAGGAAGUGA